rnacentral:lncRNA from 1 species
CAUAACAUUAGGGGUUUGUAUGUGGGGGUUGGUGUAGCUGUAAUUGUAAUCGAACUCAGCAGUACUGGCUGUUAAAGACUGAAGUUUACUUUAAAGCCAGAUCUCACUGGUUAUAUAAUUCAGCUAUGGUAAUUUGCAGUUGAAUGAGACCUGACUUGAAAAUGCUCAGCUCAAAUGCUGAUUUCCUACUGAAAAUGUCUUGCAGAAGAAUCUAGAACACAGAAUUCAUUAGAAAGGAAGUUCAUUUGGCCAGGUACAAUUAAAUAAUUAAUCAAAUGUAAACAUCUGAAGCUUCCAAGAGUCUAUUUCUGACUGGUUUGUGGCUUUAUUUUUAAAAUACUUUAUCAAUGAAAAAGUGCUUUUUCUUGCUAUUUUGUGAAGCUAACUGUCAGACAGCAGUCCACCACAUAAAUCCAAGAAAUUACAGUGGUAAGAGUAGUUUAAGUGAGACCACAACCAGAAGAACCGUUUUACUUUGAGCUCACUACUUAGUCUUUAUAUGAAUAGCACAAAACGGUCAUUGUUAAUAACAUUAUUCCCUCCUUCAGGUGACACUGAAGCUCUAUCUCCUAAAGGGUCACAAUAGGUGAAAGCAAAAGAGAGAAUUAGCAGGGCCUCUAAAGCUUCAAAUGGCUAUUAAAUACAGUUUUCAGCAAUUACGUGGCUAUAUUUCUUCAAAUGUCAGAUCACUUUAUGGACCUUCACUCACUUCAUUCAGAGCUUUCUCUGUAUUGUAAGUGAAGAAGUUGAAGAAGAGGUCACUGGCCAAUCAACACAGCAAAUUGACUGUAAUUACUCCAGUCCCCAAAGGUAAUAACAUUCUGCUUCAGCUGACAGGUCUGCAUAGCCUUGUGGUAAGCAAGGUCAUUGGAACGACUUCAGUGCUAUGUCAACACUGCACAAUGGGAAAGGAAGUCCUGCUUUAGGAAGUCCUUUUUCUUUAUUAAGACCUCUGGAAUUCAAGUUAAGUACUUGGUCUGCAGAGUGUUUGAAUGGCAGAGAUUUCUUGUGUUGGGCUGCAGAAAGGAUUGCAAGCAUCAGAAUUACUCAUCAGCACUCAGGCAGUUAAAUCCAAAAUUAUGGUCCUGGAAACUCUGCUAAGCUGUUGCCUGGUCCUUGAGGAAUCUAAAAUGUUUCUCAGCAGGACAGUGCUAGCAAGAUUUGGUCAAUUUAUUGUUAAAACUCUUUGUGAGGAAUGUGAUUUACACCUUGCAAGGGGAGAAGGAAACUACAUCUCCCAGUGGUUUCAUCUGCAACUGUGA